rnacentral:rRNA from 1 species
UACGGGAGGCAGCAGUGGGGAAUAUUGCACAAUGGGCGAAAGCCUGAUGCAGCUAUGCCGCGUGUAUGAAGAAGGCCUUAGGGUUGUAAAGUACUUUCAUCGGGGAGGAAAAAACAAAACUAAUAAUUUUAUUUCUUGACGUUACCCGAAAAAGAAGCACCGGCUAACUCCGUGCCAGCAGCCGCGGUAAUACGGAGGGUGCUAGCGUUAAUCAGAAUUACUGGGCGUAAAGAGCACGUAGGUGGUUUUUUUUAAGUCAGAUGUGAAAUCCCUGGGCUUAACCUAGGAACUGCAUUUUGAAACUGAAAUACUAGAGUAUCGUAGAGGGAGGUAGAAUUCUAGGUGUAGCGGUGAAAUGCGUAGAUAUCUGGAGGAAUACCUGUGGCGAAAGCGGCCUCCUAAACGAAUACUGACACUGAGGUGCGGAAAGCGUGGGGAGCAAACAGGGAUUAGAUACC